ACUACCCCUGAUGGCAAAGAAAAAAAACUAGCCCACUCCCCCGGUCCGUUUCUCUCUCCCUCCGGCUGCUCGCAUCUCGCCAUUGCGGUUCCCCUCAAAAAAUAAAAAAUCUCGUCAAUGCGGAGGCAGCGGCAGCGAGCCAGCGACGGCGCUGGAGGGAUGACCCAACGGCGAGGACUACCUCUUUCGCGUGUGGAGUAUUACCCUUUCCUCUCUCGUGCGGCAACGACUCGGAGGCACCGUGGGGGAUGCAAGAUCUGGGCGAAGCUCGGCAGUGACAACGAUCUUCUCCGGCGUCCCUCUCCACUGUCGGCGUGCAGGGGAAGAGGAAGCAGACCAAGAAAGGAAAGGAAAGAUAAAUGAGGAGCUCGGGUGAUGGAGGUAACGCUCGAGACGGACUCCUGGCGGUGGGAUCAAUUCAAGGAGAUGAAGGCCAUGUGGAUGACAUAGAAGAAGAGGAGAAGCUCAAGGCUGCGGAGAAAGGAACAACAGUAGAGUAUCAGAGUUCAAUCUUGCUGAGAUCAAUUUUUGUUUGUCACGGGACAUAUGAAUACUCUACUGAUUUUGCUUUUGUUUAAGUUUCACGAAUUUUCAAUUUUUCAUCCUUUAGCAAUAAAUGAUGGUUCUGACUUAAUUGAAGGUUAGUAAUGAUGUGCAUAAAGAGUCAGUCUGUUCCUAGCUGACAAUGCUAUCUGUAUAUUUAUGUUAUAAUCGAAAUUUGCACAUACAUACGAGCAAUAUUUCUUCAAUUAAAGAAUAUUCACUUUACGAGGAUUUCUAUUUUUUGCUAUUCUUAAGAUAAGAUUUUAAUCGAUGAUGCUAGCUUUAUGUUUUGUGAAUUUAUUAGGCAAUCGAGGAAUUGGAAUUCUGCCAAGAAAUCUAGGAGCAGAAGAAGAUGUAUGCAAGGGACUUGGAGACGAGGCAAUGGUGCGCAGGCGAGAAAAUUAUGUUCUGAUUGGUUUUGAAGCUUUGGGAGCCUGCGACUGGCUCGACAGGUGGCAUCAGCAAGCGCCGGCCGGCCUCGGCACUGCUGUGGGUGGUUAUAUGGUGGGUGGAGCACACCAUUGGGAUUCGACAUCAGGGUACGGUGGCGAGCUAAAUCUUCAGUCCAGCUAGGAUUUUAUUUUUGGUUCACGUUUUGUUACUGUUUUCCAUUCGGGAUUUCAUGGUGAGCAAACCUACCAUUUGCAGUUGUUUGUUUCAGAAAUUCAUGUCCUGACUUCAAAUUUUGGUCGUAAGGUAAAUCCUGCCAACAAGUCGAUGCUAUGGGUUUACUAGUUCUCUUAAUAUUUCUAUGCAAAUUAUUGCCCCCUUCAUUUUAUUUGCAAGUAGCAAGGGACUCAAAGACAGAUGUGCAUUUUCUCACGCGCAUUCUACUCCCUAGAUUGUUUGGGGCUUUGGGCAAUACAGAAUGGAAGAAUUUGUUACUUUUGUAUAGGUUUGGAUAGAAUGGCAUAGUAUCAACAACUAAUUAAUCUUCUCUAAAAAAACAACUAAUUAAUCUUUUGUAGUUGAGAUCCUGCUCACAUCUCUAUUGACUUAUUAUCUUGUCCGCUAUCAUGCACCAUUAUUUGAUGAAUGAAAAUAUCACAGUAAAAUUUCGACAACACUAACUUUCCACAAAUCUACAGUUUCUGUAUAUCAAGGUUCUCUUCCCAUGACAGGAACAGAGCAGUCACAAGGAGCUGCAAUGAUAUGUGUACAUGUAACAGUUGUCCAAGCUCUGGAACUUUUUCAGAAAUCAUUGCUCAAACUGUAUGGUCAUCCAGAUGAGGAUGUUGCAAAGGCUAACUGGAAAUACAUCUUCGCAGAAACUUUACAGUCAUCCAGAUGUUGGUUUUGCAACCCCUAAUUGGAACUACAAAUGUCUGCAGAUAGGCCAGAACAGUGUCCAUCUCAAGAUCGAUGGGAGAGUGUUGCACUACAGAAAGAUAGUCUUGUCACUACAGAUAGAUAGUCUUGUCUGUAGAUAUUGAAUAUUUAGAUGCUACUUUCUCAAAUAGCUUACUGAAUUUAUUGUCUGUAUGAUUGUGUAUGACGAACUCAGAUCGUGUUUGUUCAUUGUAAACCGACCUAGUUAUGUAAUGAAAUUCAAGUGCUUUUUGGGUAGUUCUCAUGCAGCCCAGUGUAUCAAUGCAAUACUUAUGUCUUCACAACAACUCACAAGAAUAUUUUUGUGUGUGGUCUAGAGCUAAUGAGUUGAACACAAAGUAUCUUUUUGUGUGUGGUCAGCUAAUGGGUUGAGUACAAGACGUGAUGAUCCAGUAGACAGUGCUACAAAACGCUGGAGGAGAAUCAAA